UGAUGGUACGUAUUUGAGGUAAUAGAAAUUUACAAAAACAGAUAAACAUCUUUAUAAAGGAGAUUCUGUGAACAAAAUGUACAGAUAUAUAUCUAUAGGAAUACAGUCAACAAAGAACAAAGGAAAAUGUCUUUGUCUUAAAUCACUUAUUUUUUGAGAGCUUGAAGCAUACUUCCUAAGUCUGUGAUGGUCUAAUGAAAGAGUGCCAUCUAUUGGAUGACCUUGAAAAACUACUUAAAUUUCAUAAAUACUGUACAUGAAAAUGCAGCAUUGGAAAAUAACCAUUUUGGCAAAAUUUGCAGUUGUAUUAGUCUUUUUUCUAUGUAUAUCUAUAUCUAUAUGUAUAUACCUGAAGCCUAUGCUAAAUAAAGUACAGAAAUACUAUUUAUCAAUGUUAUUCUUUUUACUAUGGUUAUGUAGCAAUACAAGUUUCACAUAUAAACUCAGCAAAUUAUUGUCUGAUUAAGACAUAUAAUUUUUUAAAUCAAAUGUUUACAAACUUAAGAUUGCUGACUUGCAUCUUGUGUUCCCUCAUGCCUACCUUUGUUUACUUGUGCUUUAAAUAAAGGAAUCUGAGGAUUGACGCAUGAGCUUGUAUUUUGACAAGGAUCUGUUUAAAUCUUCUUCAAAGUUGCAUUGCAUUAAAUUUAAGCACACCCCCCCCCCCCAGAAAAAAUGGAAAACAAAACACAUUAGCUUGGUUUUUUAAAAGUAAAUGUCCUUGUUUUAUCUUUCAGCCCAAGAACUUGCCAGUCAAGAUGAAAAACUUCUUCUAAUGGAAUCCAGCUUGAAAGCUACUCAAGAGCAGCUAACUGAGCAAAUAGCAGAAACAGUUCGCCAAGAACAGAACAGUAGAAAACCCCAGGCAGAGCUGAAGACAGUGACAGAAGGGAUUAUUGCUUCUGAAGAAGAAAAAAAUGAUUACAAAUUCGUACUUCCAGGAUGGAAAACUACUUGUUCUUCCAGAGACCACUCAGAUGCCAUCUCUGACUCCCUCUUUUUGCAGUCCCAGGCAGAGAUUUUGUUGCUAAUGUCUUAAUCCUUCUCCUUGUAUAUUGUAUUUAUGUUUGCAAUGUGUCUCCUAUACCUAAAAAAAAAAACCUUAUUUUUUUGUACAGUGAAUAAAUGAAUUAAAUAAAUGAUACA
ensembl:lncRNA